rnacentral:rRNA from 1 species
CCUACGGGAGGCAGCAGUGGGGAAUAUUGCACAAUGGGCGAAAGCCUGAUGCAGCAACGCCGCGUGAAGGAAGAAGGGUUUCGGCUCGUAAACUUCUAUCAACAGGGACGAAAGAAAUGACGGUACCUGAAUAAGAAGCACCGGCUAACGACGUGCCAGCAGCCGCGGUAAUACGUAGGGGGCAAGCGUUAUCCGGAAUUACUGGGUGUAAAGGGUGAGUAGGCGGCAUGGUAAGCCAGAUGUGAAAGCCUUGGGCUUAACCCGAGGAUUGCAUUUGGAACUAUCAGGCUAGAGUGCAGGAGCGGAAAGCGGAAUGCCUGGUGUAGCGGUGAAAUGCGUAGAGAUUAGGAAGAACACCAGUGGCGAAGGCAGCUUUCUGGACUGAAACUGACGCUGAGGCACGAAAGCGUGGGGAGCGAACAGGAUUAGAUACCCCGGUAGUC